UACAGGUGUUGCAUGGCUGUCGUCAGCUCGUGUCGUGAGAUGUUCGGUUAAGUCCGCUAACGAGCGCAACCCUCGUCGUAUGUUAUAUGUGUCAUACGAGACUGCCGGUAAGAAGCCGGAGGAAGGUGAGGAUGAUGUCAAGUCAGCAUGACCUUUAUAUCCAGGGCUACACACACGCUACAAUGGUCUGUACAAUGGGUAGCCAAGCCGCGAGGCGGAGCCAAUCCUGAAAGCAGGCCUCAGUUCAGAUUGCAGUCUGCAACUCGACUGCAUGAAGCCGGAGUUGCUAGUAACCGCAGGUCAGCAAUACUGCGGUGAAUACGUUCCCGGGUCUU
rnacentral:rRNA from 1 species